GACGAACCGUGCGAACGUUGUUCGGAAUUACUGGGCGUAAAGGGCUCGUAGGCGGCCAACUAAGUCAGACGUGAAAUCCCUCAGCUUAACUGGGGAACUGCGUCUGAUACUGGAUGGCUUGGAUUCGGGAGAGGAAUGCGGAAUUCCAGGUGUAGCGGUGAAAUGCGUAGAUAUCUGGAGGAACACCGGUGGCGAAGGCGGCAUUCUGGACCGACAUUGACGCUGAGGAGCGAAAGCCAGGGGAGCAAACGGG
rnacentral:rRNA from 1 species